rnacentral:rRNA from 1 species
GUUGUUGGGUAGGGGAGCGUUCUGUAAGCCUGCGAAGGUGGCCUGUGAGGGUUGCUGGAGGUAUCAGAAGUGCGAAUGCUGACAUAAGUAACGAUAAAGCGGGUGAAAAGCCCGCUCGCCGGAAGACCAAGGGUUCCUGUCCAACGUUAAUCGGGGCAGGGUGAGUCGACCCCUAAGGCGAGGCCGAAAGGCGUAGUCGAUGGGAAACGGGUUAAUAUUCCCGUACUUGGUGUUACUGCGAAGGGGGGACGGAGAAGGCUAUGUUGGCCGGGCGACGGUUGUCCCGGUUUAAGCGUGUAGGUGUGUGUUCCAGGUAAAUCCGGUUCACUUUAACACUGAGGCGUGACGACGAGGCACUACGGUGCUGAAGCAACAAAUGCCCUGCUUCCAGGAAAAGCCUCUAAGCAUCAGGUAACAUCAAAUCGUACCCCAAACCGACACAGGUGGUCAGGUAGAGAAUACCAAGGCGCUUGAGAGAACUCGGGUGAAGGAACUAGGCAAAAUGGUGCCGUAACUUCGGGAGAAGGCACGCUGACACGUAGGUGAAGUGAUUUACUCAUGGAGCUGAAGUCAGUCGAAGAUACCAGCUGGCUGCAACUGUUUAUUAAAAACACAGCACUGUGCAAACACGAAAGUGGACGUAUACGGUGUGACGCCUGCCCGGUGCCGGAAGGUUAAUUGAUGGGGUCAGCGCAAGCGAAGCUCCUGAUCGAAGCCCCGGUAAACGGCGGCCGUAACUAUAACGGUCCUAAGGUAGCGAAAUUCCUUGUCGGGUAAGUUCCGACCUGCACGAAUGGCGUAAUGAUGGCCAGGCUGUCUCCACCCGAGACUCAGUGAAAUUGAACUCGCUGUGAAGAUGCAGUGUACCCGCGGCAAGACGGAAAGACCCCGUGAACCUUUACUAUAGCUUGACACUGAACAUUGAGCCUUGAUGUGUAGGAUAGGUGGGAGGCUUUGAAGUGUGGACGCCAGUCUGCAUGGAGCCGACCUUGAAAUACCACCCUUUAAUGUUUGAUGUUCUAACGUGGACCCGUAAUCCGGGUUGCGGACAGUGUCUGGUGGGUAGUUUGACUGGGGCGGUCUCCUCCUAAAGAGUAACGGAGGAGCACGAAGGUUGGCUAAUCCUGGUCGGACAUCAGGAGGUUAGUGCAAUGGCAUAAGCCAGCUUGACUGCGAGCGUGACGGCGCGAGCAGGUGCGAAAGCAGGUCAUAGUGAUCCGGUGGUUCUGAAUGGAAGGGCCAUCGCUCAACGGAUAAAAGGUACUCCGGGGAUAACAGGCUGAUACCGCCCAAGAGUUCAUAUCGACGGCGGUGUUUGGCACCUCGAUGUCGGCUCAUCACAUCCUGGGGCUGAAGUAGGUCCCAAGGGUAUGGCUGUUCGCCAUUUAAAGUGGUACGCGAGCUGGGUUUAGAACGUCGUGAGACAGUUCGGUCCCUAUCUGCCGUGGGCGCUGGAGAACUGAGGGGGGCUGCUCCUAGUACGAGAGGACCGGAGUGGACGCAUCACUGGUGUUCGGGUUGUCAUGCCAAUGGCACUGCCCGGUAGCUAAAUGCGGAAGAGAUAAGUGCUGAAAGCAUCUAAGCACGAAACUUGCCCCGAGAUGAGUUCUCCCUGAGACUUAGAGUCUCCUGAAGGAACGUUGAAGACGACGACGUUGAUAGGCCGGGUGUGUAAGCGCAGCGAUGCGUUGAGCUAACCGGUACUAAUGAACCGUGAGGCUUAACCUUACAACG